AACGAACGCUGGCGGCAUGCCUAACACAUGCAAGUCGAACGAGACCUUCGGGUCUAGUGGCGCACGGGUGCGUAACGCGUGGGAACCUGCCUUUAGGUUCGGAAUAACUCAGAGAAAUUUGAGCUAAUACCGGAUGAUGUCUUCGGACCAAAGAUUUAUCGCCUUUAGAUGGGCCCGCGUUGGAUUAGCUAGUUGGUGGGGUAAAGGCCUACCAAGGCGACGAUCCAUAGCUGGUCUGAGAGGAUGAUCAGCCACACUGGGACUGGGACACGGCCCAGACUCGAAGGGGAGGAAGAGGGGGGGAAAAUGGGACAAGGGGCGAAAGCCUGAACCAGAAAGGCCGGGGGAAGGAUGAAGGGUUUAGGGUUGAAAAGCUCUUUUAACCGAGAGGAAAAUAACGGUAUGGGGAAAAAAAGCCCCGGCAAACUCGGU
rnacentral:rRNA from 1 species